GAUGAACGCUGGCGGCGUGCCUAAUACAUGCAAGUCGAGCGAACAGACGAGGAGCUUGCUCCUCUGACGUUAGCGGCGGACGGGUGAGUAACACGUGGAUAACCUACCUAUAAGACUGGGAUAACUUCGGGAAACCGGAGCUAAUACCGGAUAAUAUAUUGAACCGCAUGGUUCAAUAGUGAAAGACGGUUUUGCUGUCACUUAUAGAUGGAUCCGCGCCGCAUUAGCUAGUUGGUAAGGUAACGGCUUACCAAGGCGACGAUGCGUAGCCGACCUGAGAGGGUGAUCGGCCACACUGGAACUGAGACACGGUACAGACUCCUACGGGAGGCAGCAGUAGGGAAUCUUACGAAAUGGGCGAAAGCCUGACGGAGCAACGCCGCGUGAGUGAUGAAGGUCUUCGGAUCGUAAAACUCUGUUAUUAGGGAAGAACAAAUGUGUAAGUAACUAUGCACGUCUUGACGGUACCUAAUCAGAAAGCCACGGCUAACUACGUG
rnacentral:rRNA from 1 species